ncrna:unclassified sequences L19-Flavobacteria ribosomal protein leader
UAACCUCUGGCGAUAAUCGUGGAUGUUA